UCUUCUCUAUCAUUUUAGCAUUAGAACUCCUUAGGUUCUCUUCUUUAGAACUCUUUUCCCACUUCCUUUUCUCUUCUCCUCUUUUAAAAAAGAAAAAAAAAUUUAUUGAAAUUAAAACUCGAUGAGAUCUUUUGGGUGCAUGCUAGGACGUCGAUCAUUACAAUCUGAUUUACACCCAUUAGACCUAGAGCUAAAAAGAAUGAUUCGAAUAAACCAAAUUAAAACCAUGGAUCCAAAAUAAGAGACUGACCCACCAUAACAAUUGAGGGAGUAUUUUAAUCCCUCAUCUUACACCUACUCGCC
rnacentral:lncRNA from 1 species